rnacentral:rRNA from 1 species
CGGCGGCCUACACAUGCAAGUCGAGCGGAUGACGGGAGCUUGCUCCUUGAUUCAGCGGCGGACGGGUGAGUAAUGCCUAGGAAUCUGCCUGGUAGUGGGGGACAACGUUUCGAAAGGAACGCUAAUACCGCAUACGUCCUACGGGAGAAAGCAGGGGACCUUCGGGCCUUGCGCUAUCAGAUGAGCCUAGGUCGGAUUAGCUAGUUGGUGGGGUAAUGGCUCACCAAGGCGACGAUCCGUAACUGGUCUGAGAGGAUGAUCAGUCACACUGGAACUGAGACACGGUCCAGACUCCUACGGGAGGCAGCAGUGGGGAAUAUUGGACAAUGGGCGAAAGCCUGAUCCAGCCAUGCCGCGUGUGUGAAGAAGGUCUUCGGAUUGUAAAGCACUUUAAGUUGGGAGGAAGGGCAGUAAGCUAAUACCUUGCUGUUUUGACGUUACCGACAGAAUAAGCACCGGCUAACUCUGUGCCAGCAGCCGCGGUAAUACAGAGGGUGCAAGCGUUAAUCGGAAUUACUGGGCGUAAAGCGCGCGUAGGUGGUUCGUUAAGUUGGAUGUGAAAGCCCCGGGCUCAACCUGGGAACUGCAUCCAAAACUGGCGAGCUAGAGUACGGUAGAGGGUGGUGGAAUUUCCUGUGUAGCGGUGAAAUGCGUAGAUAUAGGAAGGAACACCAGUGGCGAAGGCGACCACCUGGACUGAUACUGACACUGAGGUGCGAAAGCGUGGGGAGCAAACAGGAUUAG